UACAGAGGGGGCAAGCGUUGUUCGGAGUUACUGGGCGUAAAGGGCGCGUAGGCGGCCUUCUAAGUCGAACGUGAAAUCCCCGGGCUCAACCCGGGAACUGCGUCCGAUACUGGAAGGCUUGAAUCCGGGAGAGGGAUGCGGAAUUCCAGGUGUAGCGGUGAAAUGCGUAGAUAUCUGGAGGAACACCGGUGGCGAAGGCGGCAUCCUGGACCGGUAUUGACGCUGAGGCGCGAAAGCCAGGGGAGCAAACGGG
rnacentral:rRNA from 1 species